GCCUACGGGAGGCAGCAGUGGGGAAUAUUGCCCAAUGGGGGAAACCCUGAUGCAGCGACGCCGCGUGAAGGAAGAAGGCUUUCGGGUUGUAAACUUCUUUUGACAGGGAAGAGUAGAAGACGGUACCUGUCGAAUAAGCCACGGCUAACUACGUGCCAGCAGCCGCGGUAAUACGUAGGUGGCAAGCGUUGUCCGGAUUUACUGGGUGUAAAGGGCGUGUAGCCGGGUUGACAAGUCAGAUGUGAAAUCCUGCGGCUUAACCGCAGAACUGCAUUUGAAACUGUUGAUCUUGAGUACUGGAGAGG
rnacentral:rRNA from 1 species